rnacentral:rRNA from 1 species
AGAACGAACGCUGGCGGCAUGCCUAAUACAUGCAAGUCGAACGAACACUUCGGUGUUAGUGGCGCACGGGUGCGUAACGCGUGGGAAUCAGCCCUUGGGUUCGGAAUAACUUCGAGAAACUGAAGCUAAUACCGGAUGAUGACGUAAGUCCAAAGAUUUAUCGCCCAGGGAUGAGCCCGCGUAGGAUUAGCUAGUUGGUGGGGUAAAGGCUCACCAAGGCGACGAUCCUUAGCUGGUCUGAGAGGAUGAUCAGCCACACUGGGACUGAGACACGGCCCAGACUCCUACGGGAGGCAGCAGUA